GACAGAGGGGGCAAGCGUUGCUCGGAAUCACUGGGCGUAAAGGGCGCGUAGGCGGGAUGGCAAGUCAGUCGUGAAAUCUCUCGGCUCAACCGAGAAACGUCGGCUGAUACUGCCGUUCUUGAGGGAUGCAGAGGAGACUGGAAUUCCCGGUGUAGCGGUGAAAUGUGUAGAGAUCGGGAGGAACACCGGUGGCGAAGGCGGGUCUCUGGGCAUCUCCUGACGCUGAGGCGCGAAAGCGUGGGGAGCAAAC
rnacentral:rRNA from 1 species